GAUGAAGAACGUAGCGAAAUGCGAUAAGUAAUGUGAAUUGCAGAAUUCAGUGAAUCAUCGAAUCUUUGAACGCACCUUGCGCCCCUUGGUUAUUCCAAAGGGCAUGCCUGUUUGAGUAUCAUGAACACCUCAACUCUUGUGGUUUCCCACAAUGAGCUUGGACUGUGGAGGUUUUGUUGGCCCUGUGGUCAGCUCCUCUCAAAUGGAUCAGCUUACCGGUGUUUGGUGGCAUUAUGGGUGUGAUAACUAUCUACGCUCGUGGUCGUCUCCAAAUAACCUCCAGUGAUGGAGGUUCGCUGGAGCUUAUAAAUGUCUCUCCCCAGUGAAGACAGCCUUUGAACGUUCGAUCUCAAAUCAGGUAGGACUACCCGCUGAACUUAAGCAUAUCAAUAAGCGGAGGA
rnacentral:misc_RNA from 1 species